rnacentral:rRNA from 1 species
UGCUCCUCUGAUGGUUAGCGGCGGACGGGUGAGUAACACGUAGGCAACCUGCCCGUAAGACCGGGAUAACUACCGGAAACGGUAGCUAAUACCGGAUAAUUUAUCGCUUCGCAUGGAGCGGUAAUGAAAGACGGAGCAAUCUGUCACUUACGGAUGGGCCUGCGGCGCAUUAGCUAGUUGGUGAGGUAACGGCUCACCAAGGCGACGAUGCGUAGCCGACCUGAGAGGGUGAACGGCCACACUGGGACUGAGACACGGCCCAGACUCCUACGGGAGGCAGCAGUAGGGAAUCUUCCGCAAUGGGCGAAAGCCUGACGGAGCAACGCCGCGUGAGUGAUGAAGGUUUUCGGAUCGUAAAGCUCUGUUGCA